CAUUCAUGUCUAACCCUUCUCCAUUUUUGUUCUUCUGUGUGCACAAACUUUCUCUAUUCCUGUUCUGCUAUGCACGAAAACCAUCUACUUAUAUAUUUGGAAUGAUAGAUCCAGUAGAUGAUUCAAUUAAUGAUUGAUUGAAGAGAACAGACGGAAGAGGAACAGAGAUAAAUUAAAAGAUUGAUUAAAGAGAAGAGACGGAACAAGAGCAAAGUAAUGGUUCUGGAUAAACAAACAUGACCAUGAGAUGUAAUCCUCUCAAUUUGAGAAUACGGGUUUAUAAAUACUGAGUAAGAUUGGGAAUGUUUGUCGUGGAAAAAAAAAGAAAAUUGGUAAACAUGGGAAGGAGGAAUAGAUGAGUUUUAUGUUGAUAAGAAUACAAGACAAAGGCUCAAAUUCGUCUCAGAUUUGGUUGAAGUUUAUACUCAAAAACCAGUUCAAAGUUGAUUUUGUUCCCGUGAAAGCAGUCAACAAGAGGAGCGAUAUUGUCUUCAGUUCAGUGAGAUGAAUGGCUUAGGUUAAUGAUAUUACAGAGUUUGUAUAUAUUUGGAUUGUUCGGUCUGUAUCCUAUUCGAAUUUUCAGGGAAGAUUGGCUAAAAA